rnacentral:rRNA from 1 species
UACGAAGGGGGCUAGCGUUGUUCGGAAUUACUGGGCGUAAAGCGCGCGCAGGCGGUCUUCCAAGUCAGGGGUGAAAUCCUGGAGCUCAACUCCAGAACUGCCUUUGAUACUGGCGAGCUUGAGUCCGGGAGAGGUGAGUGGAACUGCGAGUGUAGAGGUGAAAUUCGUAGAUAUUCGGAAGAACACCAGUGGCGAAGGCGGCUCACUGGCCCGGUACUGACGCUGAGGUGCGAAAGCGUGGGGAGCAAACAGG